rnacentral:rRNA from 1 species
GUGGGGAAUAUUGCACAAUGGGGGAAACCCUGAUGCAGCGACGCCGCGUGAGUGAAGAAGUAUUUCGGUAUGUAAAGCUCUAUCAGCAGGGAAGAAGAUGACGGUACCUGAACAAGAAGCCCCGGCUAACUACGUGCCAGCAGCCGCGGUAAUACGUAGGGGGCAAGCGUUAUCCGGAUUUACUGGGUGUAAAGGGAGCGUAGACGGCAGGGCAAGUCUGGAGUGAAAGGCGGGGGCUCAACCCCCGGACUGCUCUGGAAACUGCCAGGCUGGAGUGCAGGAGAGGUAAGUGGAAUUCCUAGUGUAGCGGUGAAAUGCGUAGAUAUUAGGAGGAACACCAGUGGCGAAGGCGGCUUACUGGACUGUAACUGACGUUGAGGCUCGAAAGCGUGGGGAGCAAACAGGA